rnacentral:lncRNA from 1 species
GGUGAUCUAGCCGGGAAUUUCAAGCUCUAUCUUUUAUGUGAAAACCAAAACAUGAACUUUAGGAUAAGGACACUCGUACUUCUCUUGCGAAUAAGGUCAACAAACAAAUAGGUAACACAAGUGAACUCCUGAGGCCUUCCUAUUGUCAUUGAAUACUUAUGUGGGGAUCUAGUAAUAGGUCUCUGAUAAGUCAUAAUGCG